GGGGAGAAUCUUUGUCACUAAGU
rnacentral:miRNA from 10 species